rnacentral:tRNA from 1 species
UUCCUCGUCGUCUAAUGGCAGGACGCCGGGCUCUGGACGCGGAGGCCGAGGUUCGACCCCUUGCGAGGAAG